rnacentral:lncRNA from 10 species
AAGGGGAAGAGGCACAGGGACAACCUGAGUGUGGGGAUGGGGAGCAGCAUGGUGCUUUGGUGGUGCUACCGGCAAAGGAGUCCUGCUGAGGGCUUCCUAUAGGAAGCCAAGCUCUGAGACAUGGAGCCACCCUCACCAGAGCCGCCUACGGGAAAGGAAGAGCCAGCCUCCUUUCCUUUGGGGCAGCUGGAAGACAAUGUACAACACAUUUUGAGAAAGUCUCUGCAGAACAAGAAAAUUGACAAAUACUUUCAGCCAUGAUUCAGAAGACCGAGGACACCCUUGCUGGCAGCUGAUCUUUGAAGAAGUACCAGCUCAGAGAGAGACUCUUGGCCCAUGUCAGGACUCAACAAAUGUGGCUGAAUGAACGAAUGAAUGAUUGUGAUGGGAUAAAGCCAGCUUUUCCUUUUUUUAUUUUAUUUUAUUAUUAUUAUACUUUAAGUUUUAGGGUACAUGUGCACAAUGUGCAGGUUUGUUACAUAUGUAUACAUGGGCCAUGUUGGUGUACUGCAACCAUUAACUCGUCAUUUAGCAUUAGGUAUAUCUCCUAAUGCUAUCCCUCCCCCCUCCCCCCACCCCACAACAGUCCUCGGAGUGUGAUGUUCCCCUUCCUGUGUCCAUGUGUUCUCAUUGUUCAAUUCCCACCUAUGAGUGAGAACAUGCGGUGUUUGGUUUUUUGUCCUUGCCAUAGUUUGCUGAGAAUGAUGAUUUCCAGUUUCAUCCAUGUCCCUGCAAAGGACAUGAACUCAUCAUUUUUUAUGGCUGCAUAGUAUUCCAUGGGGUAUAUGUGCCACAUUUUCUUACUCCAGUCUAUCGUUGUUGGACAUUUGGGUUGGUUCCAAGUCUUUGCUAUCGUGAAUAGUGCUGCAAUAAACAUACGUGUGCGUGU